UUUUAUACAUCACCUAAUUACAAUUUUAACAACCAAUUAAUAGAUAGAUCUAUAGAUAUAUAGUAAUCCGGUCUUAAUAGAAGAUUUCAUUCAUACAUGCCAUUGUAUGUGUAUUUGUUUGAUAGAACUACACAUAUUUAUAAGAACUGAUCGUUACAAAAUAUAUUGGCAAACAAGGUUAAAAUUUGUCUUCGGAAAAAUCGUCCCGACGUGGUCAGAAAGAGUUAUCCCCCUUGGCCGGCAUAGCGAUCGGUUUUCGAUCAAACAUUUAUCGAUACUGAGAUGGAGAACGUCAACGUGCCUGCUGACCCUGCACAUGACGCAUGGUAUCCAAGUGGGCUGUGUCCUGCCACAUUCAGGAAAUUUGAGGUGCAACCCUUGUAGGAAAUCAGUUUAAAGUAGACCCAGUGAGAUGGGCUGGGCGGAAGGGAAAGUAAUAUGGUUCAAGGACUGUGAGACAGACAGGGAUGCAACUCUGCCCAGCAAAUUGAGGUUUCACUGUCCAGUUACAAGAAGCCUGGUGUAAAUAGCUUGUUUGGUCCAGUUGCACCCAACAAAGGGCAACUACCAUGCUGUAAUGAAACUUGAUGGUAUCAGUUUACACCAACGCUAAACUACAUAUACAGCUCCCAAUACAGUGUGCUUUGAGAAGGGAGAGCAACUAUGCCCUGUACGUUUCUGGAAAGAAGAAGUGUUGAGAAGAGUUCUGUGUUGAAGUCAGCAUUGGCAUCCUGAGUAGUGAAAAGAUCAGCAGGGAGUAGCAUCAGUUCGCUACUGUGUGGAGGGACAGUGUUUCUCCCUAUACUCAUGGACAGUACUGUACAUCUAAACACAUGAUUCAUAUUAUAUAUUGUUUCAUAAUGUGAGGUGUGUUUUUUUCAUUCAAAAUAUCAAUUAUCAUAUAUGGUGAAUUUAGCAUCUUACAAAUAUACUGUGCAUGGAAUUUCUUCACUUACACUGUUUUCAGCAUUUUGAGGCAAAACUCUUUUCAUGUGUUACAUUUAUGUUUAUUGUUUCCUCAACAAUAAAGAACUAGCAAAAUGA